rnacentral:RNase_MRP_RNA from 1 species
UGGUGAUGGCGUUGAACGUUUAUCGGAACCACCAACCAGUCCGUGCCAAGUGACUGACCAAAUGUUCUGAGGAAAGUCCCUGGACCAGCGGCCGAGAGGGUCCGCGCCCAAUCGGCGCGCAGUCGUCACGCAAAUCCCGCGAGGGGCCCUUGGGCGAUCACAAAGGGCCAUGACCCCUCCGGGGAGAGUCCGAUCGCUUUCCGGAAAGGGAGUGCCGAUGUUCGUCAAAGCGAAAAGUGAUGCGUCCAUCAAACUUAAUAGGGCUUACAACGUCUGUCACC